GUGUUUGGCUCAGCAGCACACACACUAAAAUUGAACUGAUACAGAGAUUAGCAGGCCCUGUGCACGGAUGACAUACAAAUUCAUAAAACGUUCCACAUUUUA